rnacentral:rRNA from 1 species
CGGACGGGUGAGUACAACAUAGGAAAUCUGCCUUAGGGUGGGGGACAACAGAGGGAAACUUCUGCUAAUACCCCAUAUGAGCUUGGUUGAAAUACCAAUCUUGAAAGUUCCGGCGCCCUAAGAUGAGCCUGUGCCUGAUUAGCUAGUUGGUGGUGUAAUGGACUACCAAGGCGACGAUCAGUAGCUGGUUUGAGAGGAUGAUCGGCCACAAUGGGACUGAGACACGGCCCAUACUCCUACGGAAGGCAGCAG